CCUACGGUGGCAGCAGUGAGGAAUAUUGGUCAAUGGGCGGAAGCCUGAACCAGCCAAGUAGCGUGCAGGAUGACGGCCCUACGGGUUGUAAACUGCUUUUAUACGGGAAUAACGCGCCUUACGUGUAGGGCUUUGCAUGUACCGUAUGAAUAAGGACCGGCUAAUUCCGUGCCAGCAGCCGCGGUAAUACGGAAGGUCCGGGCGUUAUCCGGAUUUAUUGGGUUUAAAGGGUGCGUAGGCGGAAUAUCAAGUCAGCGGUAAAAAUUCGGGGCUCAACCCCGUCGUGCCGUUGAAACUGAUGUUCUUGAGUGGGCGAGAAGUAUGCGGAAUGCGUGGUGUAGCGGUGAAAUGCAUAGAUAUCACGCAGAACUCCGAUUGCGAAGGUAGCAUACCGGCGCCCAACUGACGCUGAAGCACGAAAGCGUGGGUAUCGAACAGGAUUAGAUACCCCAGUAGUC
rnacentral:rRNA from 1 species